CAGUAUCCUUUUCUACUUAACCCUAUUAUUCUCUUCCCUCCCAUUGCAAAAGUAUCUCUUUCUUCCUCAGUCUCUCCCUAAAAUUCGACGAAGAUGAGUAGCCGUGCAAGUCGAACCCUUUACGUUGGUAACUUACCUGGUGAUAUUCGUGAAAGAGAAGUUGAUGAUUUAUUUUACAAGUAUGGACCCAUUGUUGAAAUCGAUUUGAAGGUUCCACCAAGACCUCCAGGUUAUGCUUUUGUUGAGUUUGAAGAUGCUCGUGAUGCUGAAGAUGCUAUCCGUGGUCGCGAUGGAUACAACUUUGAUGGUCACCGAUUGAGGGUGGAGCUUGCACAUGGUGGACGAGGACAAGCAUCGUCAGUGGAUAGGCGUAGCAGUUAUAAUGGUGGUGGGGGUGGUCGCGGAGGUGUAUCUAGGCACUCAGAUUACCGUGUCUUGGUAUCUGGAUUACCUUCUUCUGCUUCAUGGCAAGAUUUGAAGGAUCAUAUGCGCCGAGCAGGGGAUGUCUGUUUCUCCCAAGUGUUUCGUGAGGGUGGAGGCACAACUGGGAUCGUGGAUUACACAAACUAUGACGACAUGAAGUAUGCUAUCAGAAAACUCAAUGACUCUGAGUUCAGAAAUGCCUUCUCCAAAGCCUACAUUCGGGUCAAGGAGUAUGAUUCCAAGAGGAGCUUAUCAAGGAGCCGUAGCCGAUCUGACUCGAGGAGCAGAAGCCCCAAGCGUAGUCGCAGCAAAAGCCGAAGCAGGAGCAAAAGCAAAUCUCCAAAGGCCAAAUCUUCUCGUCGAUCUGUAUCUAGGUCCAGAUCUAGAUCCAGAUCUGUUUCUUCACGGUCACGCUCGGGAUCAAAGCAUCGCUCGCUCUCAAGAGUCUCAGCAAGUUGAAAUGCUGGGUACUCAGGUAGAACCCUGAAAUGAUAUGUUUGACAAAGCAAAGAGCAGAUACAGCGAAUAAAUGUUCAAGAUAGAAUUGUCAACACUCAAAAGUUCAGUUUAACUUUCCUACAUAAUGUUUGGGUUAAGCAUUGGUACACCUUUAUGCUUGGCAAUGUACUAAGAUCAUGGCUACUAGUGGCGAUUAAAGUAAUGUGCAAAGGAGGGGGACCCAACAACUGGUAAUACCUGCAUUUUAUCUGAUGACUUGUAUUCAUCAAAUCUGAAUAUCAAGUAUUGGUUUUUGGGUUGAUUCAAGGAUAAUGACCUCUAUAAGCAGUCUUAGAUUUGGCUUAAUGCGGCGAUUGGGGAUUGCACAUUAGGGGCUUGAUGGGAUGUGGUGCAAAAUGCCUGCAACUCUUUUGUUUGUGGUGGUUUAGUGGACAGCUUGGGAAACCUCAAUGGCAUAUUAAUUUUAAUGUAAUGCAACUUGAAGCUUAAGUGGGACAUGAAAGAUGAUGGUAUUUUAGAGAUGGCUUAAGUAAUUGGAUAUGUGGACGCACCACGAAUCAGCUGUAGGAAUAGAGUUCAAAUUCCUUUUUUUUCCUUGGAAUCUGCACAGGCUUAAUAGGAUUGCGCCCAGGAAUUCCUUGGACCUCCAUGAGGCGUCGAGGAUUUUGGAUCUAAGGUGUUUUGGAAACGUUGUGGAUAUUGAAUUGGGUUGUUUCUGGAACUUUUUGCAGAUCCCGUUCGAGGUCCAAGUCGCCAGUACUCUCUCCUCGCGGCAAACAUGUGAGUAAAAGCCCUAAAAAGCGGAGUCCCAGUCGUAGCAAGAGUCCCAUCAAGAGCAAGAGUCGAAGCCUUAGCCCUAGCUAAAACUAAUAUCAGGUCUGGGGCAUCAUUAUUACCAACUGAAGAACCUGAGAAGUCACAGAAUGAAUAGUGGAAACUCUUAUUGAGAGUAGCAUAGACUAUUUUGUUUUUGCUUUUUUAGAUUGUGAUAUCUGAGAGUUAUGUUUGAAUUAUUUUAUGGAAUAUUUUAUGGAACUAAACCAGUUUUUUUUAUUUUUUUUUUUAUUUUUGCACUGUCUUAUGUAAUACUGCAAACAUAAUUAUCAAAUCUUUUCUGUUGGUAAUA